rnacentral:lncRNA from 1 species
CGUAGUUCUUGAUCCAAUCAAUUUCAAAUUCUCUGUACGGUUUAGUUUCGGCCGUCCAUUUCUUUUCUACGACCUCGAUCUCGCCAUCUAUUUUUGUCUUAUAUGCGGCAUUAAUUAGAUUAUCUUAAUUACUGCCGCCUAUUCAUCAUUAUAGCUGACAUCGGAAUUCGUUUCGAUGCGACGAUUCAAUGCGACAGCAACCUUUCCUUCUUAGCCAAGCUUCUCAUUCCCUUUAUACUCAGACCUUGUCUUCUUUGCCUUCUUUUCUCUUCAUCUUCUCCACCUUCUUCUUCAUCUCUACUUUCCAGCUUGGCCUAUUUUCUUCUUCUUCUUACUUUGAAUUUUCUCUUCAUCCUUCAGCAAUGGCACCGCUUGCGCCUCUGCCUUCCUUUCCAACACUAGAUUAUACCAUACUUAAACCAU